UACGUAAGGGGCGAGCGUUAUCCGGAUUUAUUGGGCAUAAAGCGCACGUAGGCGGUCUUUUAAGUCAGAUGUUAAAUCCUUCAGCUCAACUGAAGUGCUGCAUUUGAUACUGAAUGACUCGAGUACAGGAGAGGAAAGCGGAACUCACGGUGUAGCGGUGAAAUGCGUAGAUAUCGUGAGGAACACCAGUUGCGAAGGCGGCUUUCUGGACUGUUACUGACGCUCAGGUGCGAAAGCGUGGGGAGCAAACGGG
rnacentral:rRNA from 1 species